AUUGAACGCUGGCGGCAGGCCUAACACAUGCAAGUCGAGCGGAGCGGAGGACGGGCGAGUAAUGCCUAGGAAUCUGCCUGGUAGAGGGGGAUAACUUCCGGAAACGGGCGCUAAUACCGAAUAUUCUCAGAUGAGCCUAGGUCGGAUUAGCUAGCUGGUGGGGUAAAGGCCUACCAAGGCGACGAUCCGUAACUGGUCUGAGAGGAUGAUCAGUCACACUGGAACUGAGACACGGUCCAGACUCCUACGGGAGGCAGCAGUGGGGAAUAGUGGACAAUGGGCGAAAGCCUGAUCCAGCCAUGCCGCGUGUGUGAAGAAGGUCUUCGGAUUGUAAAGCACUUUAAGUUGGGAGGCGUUACCAACAGAAUAAGCACCGGCUAACUCCGUGCCAGCAGCCGCGGUAAUUC
rnacentral:rRNA from 1 species